GUGUAUGGUUGCGCGUUGCGCAUUAAUAGGGAACGCGGUUAAAAUCCGCGGCAGUCCCGCUACUGUGAUUAGCGACGAAACCCCUUAAACGCCACUGGGCUGUUCUACGCCCGGGAAGGCUGGGGAAGUAGGCUGAGCUAUAAGCCAGGAGACCUGCCAUGCAUC
rnacentral:ncRNA from 1 species